UUCAUCGCACUCCAAAAGGUGAGGCAAGGCUGCUGCAAUUAACCAUGCCAAUAAACAAGAGAGUACAAUCCCACUCCAUACAAAAAGGUAGCAGGACUACGUGGAACAAAAAGGUAAAACCAAGCAGACGUACAGAACAUGGGAAUGAAACUAAAAACAAACCACCACCAAUCAUUACCCAUUAUCAUAUCAAGAUCUGCAAGAAACACCAGAAGAACAUAUUUAGCAUCUCGAAGAAAGUUAGGAAAACACAAAUUUGAGCAUAUUCUUGAUAUACAUACACACCAGGAAGUUUGAAGAUAUCGGAUCAAUAUUCUUGGUAUG
rnacentral:lncRNA from 1 species